rnacentral:rRNA from 1 species
AUUGAACGCUGGCGGCAGGCCUAACACAUGCAAGUCGAACGAGUGGCGGACGGGUGAGUAAUGUCUGGGAAACUGCCUGAUGGAGGGGGAUAACUACUGGAAACGGUAGCUAAUACCGCAUACCUUCGGUUUUCCCCGGAUGGGAUUAGCUGGUAGGUGGGGUAACGGCUCACCAAGGCGCCGAUCCCUAGCUGGUCUGAGAGGAUGACCAGCCACACUGGAACUGAGACACGGUCCAGACUCCUACGGGAGGCAGCAGGGGGGAAGAUUGCACAAUGGGUGCAAGCCUGAUGCAGCCAUGCCGCGUGGAUGAAGAAGGCCUUCGGGUUGUAAAGUACUUUCAGCGGGGAGGCGUUACCCGCAGAAGAAGCACCGGCUAACUCCGUGCCAGCAGCCGCGGUAAUUC